rnacentral:lncRNA from 1 species
AGAGUUUUCAUCUCCUGUAUCCUUUUUUGGGAGGAAGGAAUCUCCAUUCUCCCCUUCUAUUCUAUAUUUUGUUUUUUUUUUUGUUAAAUCGAAAAUUGCUUAAAUUACUUUUAUGUCCAAACAAAAUUUCUUAUAUUACACUACAAACCUUGAUUUUAUCCACCCAUCCAACACUAAAUGGAUCCUACCCACAAACUCAUUAAAAAAAACAAAACAACAAAAACAAAAACUCUAACCUAAACGAUGAAUUGCUCAUCUUCUUCUUCUCUUCUGUUCUCUCUAAGUGUUCGCUGAGGUAGUAAUCGAAGAGAAAAAUUCUUAAAAUGCUCAAGAGUUUUGAAUUGGGUAUUCGUUGUUCUCAUCGAUGUUGAGAGUGUGGUAUAAUAAUCAAC